GGCUCCAUCGUCUAACGGCUAGGACGGUGCCCUUUCAAGGCGCAAAUAGGGGUUCGAUUCCCCUUGGAGCUA
rnacentral:tRNA from 1 species